UCCGUAGGCGGGCGAUUAAGUCAGAGGUGAAAUCCCACAGCUUAACUGUGGAACUGCCUUUGAUACUGGUCGUCUUGAGUUAUAGUGAAGUAGAUAGAAUAUGUAGUGUAGCGGUGAAAUGCAUAGAUAUUACAUAGAAUACCGAUUGCGAAGGCAGUCUACUAACUGUAUACUGACGCUAAUGGACGAAAGCGUGGGGAGCGAACAGGAUUAGAUACCCUGGUAGUC
rnacentral:rRNA from 1 species